CGAGAUGGAGCUCAGUGGUAGAGUGUGUGCUUAGCAGCACGAGGCUUGGGUUCGAACCCCAGAAUCUCCA
rnacentral:tRNA from 1 species